UACGUAGGUGGCAAGCGUUGUCCGGAUUUACUGGGAGUAAAGGGCGCGUAGGCGGCCACCGCAAGUCGACUGUGAAAUCUCCGGGCUUAACCCGGAAAGGUCAGCCGAUACUGCGGGGCUAGAGUGCAGAAGGGGCAACUGGAAUUCUCGGUGUAGCGGUGAAAUGCGUAGAUAUCGAGAGGAACACCUGCGGCGAAGGCGGGUUGCUGGGCUGACACUGACGCUGAGGCGCGAAAGCUAGGGGAGCGAACGGG
rnacentral:rRNA from 1 species